rnacentral:rRNA from 1 species
GAUGAACGCUGGCGGCGUGCCUAAUACAUGCAAGUCGAGCGAACAGACGAGGAGCUUGCUCCUCUGACGUUAGCGGCGGACGGGUGAGUAACACGUGGAUAACCUACCUAUAAGACUGGGAUAACUUCGGGAAACCGGAGCUAAUACCGGAUAAUAUAUUGAACCGCAUGGUUCAAUAGUGAAAGACGGUUUUGCUGUCACUUAUAGAUGGAUCCGCGCCGCAUUAGCUAGUUGGUAAGGUAACGGCUUACCAAGGCAACGAUGCGUAGCCGACCUGAGAGGGUGAUCGGCCACACUGGAACUGAGACACGGUCCAGACUCCUACGGGAGGCAGCAGUAGGGAAUCUUCCGCAAUGGGCGAAAGCUUGACGGAGCAACGCCGCGUGAGUGAUGAAGGUCUUCGGAUCGUAAAACUCUGUUAUUAGGGAAGAACAAAUGUGUAAGUAACUAUGCACGUCUUGUCGGUACCUAAUCAGAAAGCCACGGCUAACUACGUG